rnacentral:rRNA from 1 species
UACGUAGGGUGCGAGCGUUAAUCGGAAUUACUGGGCGUAAAGUGUGCGCAGGCGGCGUCGCAAGUCGAGUGUGAAAGCCCCGGGCUUAACUUGGGAAUUGCGCUCGAAACUACGAUGCUGGAGUGUGGCAGAGGGGGGUGGAAUUCCACGUGUAGCAGUGAAAUGCGUAGGAAGAUGUGGAGGAACACCGAUGGCGAAGGCAGCCCCCUGGGCUAACACUGACGCCUCGAUGCACGAAAGCGUGGGAGC